GUCGAGAAUCUUUCACAAUGGGGGCAACCCUGAUGGAGCGACGCCGCGUGGAGGAUAAGGUCUUCGGAUUGUAAACUCCUGUCAUGCGUGAACAAGGUUGCUUGGAUAAUACCUGAGCAAAUUGAUGGUAGCGCAAGAGGAAGAGACGGCUAACUCUGUGCCAGCAGCCGCGGUAAUACAGAGGUCUCAAGCGUUGUUCGGAAUCACUGGGCGUAAAGGGUGCGUAGGUGGCGUGGCAAGUCAGAUGUGAAAGCCCGGGGCUCAACCUCGGAACUGAAUCCGAUACUGCCAUGCUAGAGUACUGGAGGGGGGACUAGAAUUCUCGGUGUAGCAGUGAAAUGCGUAGAUAUCGAGAGGAAUACCAAAGGCGUAGGCAGGUCACUGGACAGUUACUGACACUGAGGCACGAAGGCCAGGGGAGCGAACGGGAUUAGAUACCCUAGUAGUCC
rnacentral:rRNA from 1 species